UAUGCUGACGCAUCUCUCUGUCUGCAGGGAAGAAAGAGAAGGGCUACAACAUUGCCCCUGCCCAGGAUGGUGGAUCCAACAGCUCAGCCACAGGGAGCGACCGCCCGGUGAUCUGAGUGCUGUGCUUCAGCCUGCAAGUGGAAGGCUGUCCCCACCAGCGUUUGGGGUUGGUGAUGGACACAGCCCCAUC